rnacentral:lncRNA from 1 species
AUGACCAUGCCUCACCUCUGCCGAUCACAUGCAAAUAUUUGUCCUGUUCUGAGACAUCCUCCUGGGUCCCAGCUUCUUCUCUUGAAGAGUGAGUUUGAUUUGAUUUUGUAUUUCUGUCUUGAGCUACUUCCUGCUUUAUCAUUCAACAGCCUAAAUUUAGUUCAACACUCCAUCUUUACAGUACAGAUUUCCAGUGCACCAUCAGAAGCCGAAGUAACUGUGAGUGGGAGGCAUUGGAGCCGGCUGGGAGAAAUGGAUGCAGAUGCAUCAGCUACCUCACAAGGAAAACCUGUUCUCACAAGUUUUAUCGCACCACUUGGCAGAGAAAAAGGCUUGGGUAGAGGCUGAGAACUUUCACAUAUAACCAGAAAGCUCGGGAAUUCAGCCAUCUUGACUUACCGCCCACCGCUGAAAAGAAACUUUCGCAAACUCUCAGAGCCAGGACCUAAGAGUCCCCUCCUAAUCAGAAAAGGAGGAAACUCUACAAGGUCCAACUUUCUCUUUAAAGGAAAUUCUGUAGAUGGCUACAAAGCCAGGUCAUUUUAGAAUUUCUCACAGUAAUGAGGAGCUCAAAGACUGGUUGGCAUGGUUCUCUCACCUCUAUCCUUCUUGUCUCUUUCCUCCCAGCCUCCAUUGGCCCAAGGCAAGUUCCCUCAGAAGACUGCACUCCCAGGAAAAUGCCAAGCUGGGGCUGGGAGGGAUGAGGGCUGGUAUAAAAAAAGGAGCAGGAAGAGCAGUUCUUUCUAUUUGGGCCAUUCUAUGUAUUUGGAAGUCCAUGAGAAAUAUAAGAAGGGCUCACUCUAAAGAGUAAACAAUGUAGAUGGCAGGAUAUGUGACUGGGAAUCUGCUGAGAAUGUCUUCACAUUACUCACAAGUUAAUAAUUUCCCUAAGAGUGGGAGUUUCUUGAGGAUGUUUAGGAUUUAUUUUUAAGCCUUUUAGAGCUUUGGAAUAACACUCACAGUUUCUUUUUUACUAUUUUCAUGGUGUUCAGAGAUUUCAAGCCCACAUUUUAGAACCCACCCACCUUCAACAGAUGUAGACAAAUUAGAAAUACG